rnacentral:lncRNA from 1 species
GAUUGGCGCAGCCCUGCCGGGGAGCGAGGCGGGGAGAGGGCGGGCGGGGGCCGGGCACGGCAGCGCGGGGAGAGGGGGCGCGGGCAGCCCGGCUCCCGCCCCACGCGUGACUCAGCACGGCCCCACGGGGCUGGAGUGGGGCGGCACAGCCCUCGGGGCAGGCCCAAAGAGGACACCUUAUUUGAACCACAGAAAACAGCCUAAAUAAGGAAAAUGGGAAGCAUUUCCAACUGUUGCCUCUUGCGGACUGGCUGGGGCAUAUCACGGGGAUGAGACAAGGAAAAGGGUUUCUAACCAAAAGGAACAGGAGCCAAGUGCUGCCUUUAAAGCCAGGAGAGGAGUGGGUUGGCCCCAGGCAGUUCCUUGCUGGCUUGCUGGUGGAUCAGGCAGGUACGAGGCACAGACACACAUUCCUCUCCUUCCCCACACACCUGGCCAAAAACUCAGCUUCCUCUUUUUUCUGCAGAGCAUCAGCAGUAGGUGCUGCUGCUCUCAGCAGGAGGACUCGGUCCCAGUGGAGGGGUGGGGACUCCAGCCCCCGUGUGCCUGAUUCCGAGGUGGGGCUGCUGCGUGCAGCUGUAAGACAGAACCUCGAACAGCCAGAGACAGAUGGGCUUCCCGCAGGUGAUGGGAACCACAGCAAGCUGUAAUCCUCCAGCUCCAUCAAGGCGACUCCAAGGCUUCAGUUUGGGUGCACACCUUUUCCUCCCCUCUGCCCCAGCAAGGCCGGCAGUUUCUACUCAGUCUGCAAAGCUAGGAGCACUCCAGGCUGAGCACCAAAUAACAGAAAGUUAAUUCAUGAAUAGUUACAGCGUUUCCUUCAAGGCCACUCUCACAAGGGGCCAAGCACCAACUUUGCCAUGUCCUUGGAGCAGGGGGGAGGGCACUGGCCCCAUUCAUCCCUACCUGGCUGCCCACAGCCUUGGCCAGAUGGGCUCCAGGAUUUGCCCUUCUGCUUUUGUCAGCUCUAGCUUGCAUUGGAAGUUGUGGCCAGUCUGAAAAACGGAUUAUGACACAGCCCUUGCUGAGGUCAACACUGCUGGAGAAAGACAAUAAAAGGAUGAGUAGGUAGGCUUGGAAAAAGAGA